rnacentral:lncRNA from 1 species
AGGAUGUCUUUGAACUUCUGACCCUCCUUUUGCUACUUCUGGAGUCCUGGGAUGUCAGGCAUGUACCACUAUGCUGAGUUUAUGCAAGUAUUCUACCAACUGAGCUACAUUUCUAACCCCAGGGCUUGGAUUUCUGAUGUGUCUGCUUCUAACUUCUGAGUGAUGAUAGAGGUUUCACCUGCUUGCCUGCCUUUUUAUAAGACUAUCACUCGGUUCUCCCCAUCUGACUUUUAUGACUCUGUUUUUCUUUCCUCUGGCUGCUUCAUCUCUUGCAACCACUCAGCAGUCUAGUGGACAGAGCCAGGCGUGUGUGAGAAUCUUGUUAUACAGGGCAUAGCUGCAGUGCUAUGUUGGGCCUUUGCUUGACCUUGGGCACUAGGGAGAAAGUUUUUGAUGGUUGAAAACUAGGUACUACCCAAUAUCAGGGCAGGACAGGCUGUGUCUGAUGCUAUUGCCGGGAACCUGUGUUGCCUAGUGUCUGUCUGUGUCAGGAUGAUGGAUCCUCUGAUGGAAGCAAGCCCAGAUCUGGGGAUAAGGGGAGUUCCCAUGGCUAGGAGGGGAUAGCCCAGGCACAGCACUGUGGAAGCACUAAGGAGUUGGGAAGUGAAGCUCAGAAAUCCACCUGCCUCUGCCUCCCAAGUGCCUGGCGCAUUUAGUGUUCUUAACCACUGAGUCAUCUCUUUAGCUCAACAACUCAUAAAUUAAAAUAUUUUUUUAACUAUAAAAUAAAAACAUCAUUCUGGCCUUCCUCUAAUGUUCCCAUAGUCCCUCUCAAAUUCAUGGCCUCUUCUUUUUUUUAAUUAUCAUUGAUCUAUCUAUCUAUCUAUCUAUCUAUCUAUCUAUCUAUCUAUCUAUCUACCAUCAUCAUUUAUACAUUUAUUGUGGACAAAAUGGAGACAUUAUCGGAGCAAAGACAUCUGGAAGAGUCCAGAGAGGGGCAUGACUCUGAGCUAUGUGAGGAGAGGUUUUUGGGCUCCCUGUUUAGCUGUCAGACCCUGGCCACUGGUAGAUGAAGGGCUUUGAGUGUUAUAAAUCAGGGAGGCAGAAGAAAAAGAAGAGAAAAGAAUGGGGGAAGAGAGAUCACAGCACACAGCAAAAGGAAAGAAGGAAACUGGGUGAAAGGAGGAGAUGAGAGGAGGAAGAGGGCCCAGCAGCUGGAAGGCCCACACCCUACAGCUCUGUGGCUGACACCCACUCAGUUGGGCAAGAUAUGGGGAUUUUCAAUCAACUACAGACUGCAAGUUGCUCCAAGCUUGUAAGUCCUAG